rnacentral:rRNA from 1 species
GAUGAACGCUAGCGGCAGGCCUAACACAUGCAAGUCGAGGGAGGAGCCUUCGGGCUUCGACCGGCGUACGGGUGCGUAACGCGUAUACAAUCUGCCUUUCACAUAGGGAUAGCCCGAAGAAAUUUGGAUUAAUACCUAAUGGUAUAUAGAUGUGGCAUCACCUUUAUAUUAAAGCUGAGGCGGUGAAAGAUGAGUAUGCGUUCUAUUAGCUAGUUGGAGAGGUAACGGCUCCCCAAGGCGACGAUAGAUAGGGGUUCUGAGAGGGUUAUCCCCCACACUGGUACUGAGAUACGGACCAGACUCCUACGGGAGGCAGCAGUGAGGAAUAUUGGACAAUGGUCGGAAGACUGAUCCAGCCAUGCCGCGUGCAGGAAGACGGCCUUAUGGGUUGUAAACUGCUUUUGCAGGGGAAGAAUAAGGACUACGCGUAGUUUGAUGACGGUACUCUGCGAAUAAGCAUCGGCUAACUCCGUG